GACGAACGCUGGCGGCGUGCUUAACACAUGCAAGUCGAAUGGAAAGGCCCUUCUUUUGUGGUUUUCUCGAGUGGCGAACGGGUGUGUAACACGUGAGUAACCUGCCCUUUACUUUGUUAUAACUUCAGGAAACUUUGGCUAAUACCUGAUAUGAUCUCCUGCUGCAUGUUGUGGGUUGGAAAGUUUCGGCGGUUGGGGAUGGACUCGCGGCUUAUCAGCUUUUUGGUGGGGUAGUGGCUUACCAAGGCUUUGACGGGUAGCCGGCCUGAGAGGGUGACCGGGCAAAUUGGGACUGAGAUAAGGCCCAGAGUGCAACGGGAGGCAGCAGUGGGGAAUAUUGCAAAAUGGGAGGAAGAAUGAUGCAGCAACGCAGCGUGCGGGAUGAAGGCAUUCGGGUUGUAAAAAGAUUGAGCAUGUGACGAAGAGUGAGUGACGGUAAUGGGUAAAGAAGCACCGGCUAACUACGUG
rnacentral:rRNA from 1 species